UCAUAAAACUACUACCCAAGCAUUUUCUGAGGAAACAUUUUAAUUGUAAGUAAGUGCGAUAAGUGCGAGUAUUACGAGCUUUUAGCAAUAUGGGUUUUGUUCAUGUCCUCGUGAUUCCAAGUGUCGAGAUUGAGUGUUUCUGAAAAUUGCAUCGUGGCAAAAUCUAAAUUAACGUCAGUUAUUUUUGUGCUACUUAUCUCACCAGCAGAUGAUGCUGGAAAGAUAGAAGUGAAUCAAAAGGACAAGGAGGAGGUGGUGGUGAGAAGUGGCUAUUUCAGUCUGUCACUGGUAGAAAAUAGAAACUCUUCAGUGGUGUUUUCACCUGACACUUCUAUAUUCAGUGCAUCUAUUGCAUUAGAGGUUGUUAUAGAUUGUAUAAUAGGUGUCAGUGUGUCUUAUCUUUGCAUUUUGCACAAACAGUAAGAACGUACGAACCUAUAGCCCCAAACCUCUCCACCAUCUAUUAUUAUUAUUAUUAUUAUUGUUAUUUUGCUGUGUACACAUCUUCAUUAACCACUGCAGUGUGACUAUUUUCCUCCCAGGGGCCAUUAAAGUUUCAUUUUACCUUAUCUCAUGUGUAAAGUAAACACACUCAUUAAGCUGGCUAUGAUCACAGUUGAGCACGGCUACAAUUACGGCGACACAUUGCAGAGGCACAUGACGCCCAGCGUGGGGAAAUCAUCUCCUCCUCUGGGGAGAAGCUGCUGCCUGCUGCAUGAUUGUGACUUCAGGUGCAACAAAAGCCACAACUCACGAGAGCCCAUUCCUCUGUGGCGGCACAAACCUGUACAUUUACUCUAUUUGAGGAUUGGGUUUCAUAGAGCUGUAUAACGAAAUCAAUUCAUGCUGAGUGCAAACUGCAAGAAGCUCUGGUGCCAUAGUGUAGCGGGCUCAGUGAAACACAGAGCAAACCCUGUGGACGGGGCUGAACUUUCCAAAGAUCAAUUUGUCACAGUGACUCAGGAAACUUCCCUGAGGUGAGCUGUGGGUGACGACUGCUGUCACUGCUCCACUGGCUCAGGUUAGACACAAAGAGGGGCUGCAGUGCUGAGAAUGACCACCAGGUGUCUGUAGAGUGAAAGGGAUAUAAGGGGAUCGGCUGUGAGAUGAAGAAGGCAGACAGUCAAGGGUCUGUGUUGGCCCUUUGCUGCUCUGCACAUUCUUGAUAAAAGGGGACACAAGUGUGAACACACAGGACCUCCAUCAUUCACGGUGUCACCAGAUCAGCCAAGGGAAGCGGAAUGGUCGUCAGUUCAGGACCGAAAACUGUGAAGGCCACAGUUCAGUUCAUCGCUCAUGAAUUUUGCUUUGAUAGAAUCUGUGAAGGUAUAUACAUGAGAACACCUUGACUCACAGACCUGUGUGAGUCAGUCCGCAGGAAGAACUCUGUGGCCACACUUUAUAAAGCAGACUGUGUACGGCAGUCACCGCCGAGCGUCUGGAAACAGACUAAUAAUCAGGUUAAAGCGGCUGCAAAAACCAUACAGCGCUGCAAAAAAAAGAGCACAUGACACAGGUGUGUUCUUUUUAACGCCAGGAUUAUAAAGAACAACAACAAGUGACUAAAAAGUAAACUUGGCACAGAAAAAAAGGAAAAAAGGGUAACAAUUUAAUUUAUUUAUUACAUUUAAAUGACAUUACAGUAAUAAUGUGGCUAAGUGUUGUAACAUAUGGAGGAAAUAUGUUGAUAAUACUAUCUUGUUUCUAACGCAGUAAUAACAAUGUCAUAGUAUGUUUUAAUAUUACAAUAGUAAUAAUAUCCACGUAAAAACCUACCUAAAGUGUUUGUGAAUCAGAAUUGAUAAAGGUGAAAUUCACACACAUUUUACAUUGUUAUCACCCAUAUAUUACUUGGUAAGGUGGUAUUAUCGUAAUAUCACCAUACUUUUAACACAUCGUUGCUUUGUGUAUAGAUAUCCUGUACGUGUGUGUGUGUUUCUUGUUUUGUUCUUGUCUUAGUUAUCUCUCAAUGUUUGCGGUCUAGUAUUUUGUGUUAUUCUGUCUCUGAUUAUGGCUUCAUAACCUGUCAUAUUUACAUGCAUGCAUAAAUAAAUACAUAAAUGAUGGGUCCACAUGGCAGGCAUGGCCUUACAGCAGGUUUGUGCGUGUUUUUUCUUCUUCUCCAGGUUCUGAUUUCCUCCCACAGUC